AAGACUGGGAUAACUCCGGGAAACCGGAGCUAAUACCGGAUAGUUCCUUGAACCGCAUGGUUCAAGGAUGAAAGACGGUUUCGGCUGUCACUUACAGAUGGACCCGCGGCGCAUUAGCUAGUUGGUGGGGUAAUGGCUCACCAAGGCGACGAUGCGUAGCCGACCUGAGAGGGUGAUCGGCCACACUGGGACUGAGACACGGCCCAGACUCCUACGGGAGGCAGCAGUAGGGAAUCUUCCGCAAUGGACGAAAGUCUGACGGAGCAACGCCGCGUGAGUGAUGAAGGUUUUCGGAUCGUAAAGCUCUGUUGUUAGGGAAGAACAAGUGCGAGAGUAACUGCUCGCACCUUGACGGUACCUAACCAGAAAGCCACGGCUAACUACGUGCCAGCAGCCGCGGUAAUACGUAGGUGGCAAGCGUUGUCCGGAAUUAUUGGGCGUAAAGGGCUCGCAGGCGGUUUCUUAAGUCUGAUGUGAAAGCCCCCGGCUCAACCGGGGAGGGUCAUUGGAAACUGGGAAACUUGAGUGCAGAAAAGGAGAGUGGAAUUCCACGUGUAACGGUGAAAUGCGUAAAGAUGUGGAGGAACACCAGUGGCGAAGGCGACUCUCUGGUCUGUAACUGACGCUGAGGAGCGAAAGCGUGGGGAGCGAACAGGAUUAGAUACCCUGGUAGUCCACGCCGUAAACGAUGAGUGCUAAGUGUUAGGGGGUUUCCGCCCCUUAGUGCUGCAGCUAACGCAUUAAGCACUCCGCCUGGGGAGUACGGUCGCAAGACUGAAACUCAAAGGAAUUGACGGGGGCCCGCACAAGCGGUGGAGCAUGUGGUUUAAUUCGAAGCAACGCGAAGAACCUUACCAGGUCUUGACAUCCUCUGACAACCCUAGAGAUAGGGCUUUCCCUUCGGGGACAGAGUGACAGGUGGUGCAUGGUUGUCGUCAGCUCGUGUCGUGAGAUGUUGGGUUAAGUCCCGCAACGAGCGCAACCCUUGAUCUUAGUUGCCAGCAUUUAGUUGGGCACUCUAAGGUGACUGCCGGUGACAAACCGGAGGAAGGUGGGGAUGACGUCAAAUCAUCAUGCCCCUUAUGACCUGGGCUACACACGUGCUACAAUGGACAGAACAAAGGGCUGCGAGACCGCAAGGUUUAGCCAAUCCCAUAAAUCUGUUCUCAGUUCGGAUCGCAGUCUGCAACUCGACUGCGUGAAGCUGGAAUCGCUAGUAAUCGCGGAUCAGCAUGCCGCGGUGAAUACGUUCCC
rnacentral:rRNA from 1 species